rnacentral:rRNA from 1 species
GACGAACGCUGGCGGCGUGCCUAAUACAUGCAAGUCGAGCGGAAGUUGGAGAGCUUGCUCUUCAACUUUAGCGGCGGACGGGUGAGUAACACGUGGGCAACCUGCCCUGCAGAUCGGGAUAACUCCGGGAAACCGGUGCUAAUACCGAAUAGUUUUCGCCACCUCCUGGUGGCGUACGGAAAGACGGUUUCGGCUGUCACUGCAGGAUGGGCCCGCGGCGCAUUAGCUAGUUGGUGGGGUAACGGCCCACCAAGGCGACGAUGCGUAGCCGACCUGGGAGGGUGAGCGGCCACACUGGGACUGAGACACGGCCCAGACUCCUACGGGAGGCAGCAGUAGGGAAUCUUCCGCAAUGGACGAAAGUCUGACGGAGCAACGCCGCGUGAGUGACGAAGGUUUUCGGAUCGUAAACUCUGUUGUGAGGGAAGAACAAGUACCAAUUAACUACUGGUACCUUGACGGUACCUCACCAGAAAGCCACGGCUAACUACGUGCCAGCCGCCGCGGUAAAAC